GCCUGGGUAGCUUAGCGGUAAAGCGCGUCCUUGGUAAGGACGAGAGCGAUUUUCGGACUACGAGGUUCGAAUCCGACGGCU
rnacentral:tRNA from 1 species